rnacentral:rRNA from 1 species
CCUACGGGUGGCAGCAGUGGGGAAUAUUGGACAAUGGGCGAAAGCCUGAUCCAGCCAUGCCGCGUGUGUGAAGAAGGCCUUCGGGUUGUAAAGCACUUUCAGUGGGGAAGAAAGCCUUGGGGCUAAUACCCUCGAGGAAGGACAUCACCCACAGAAGAAGUACCGGCUAACUCCGUGCCAGCAGCCGCGGUAAUACGGAGGGUGCGAGCGUUAAUCGGAAUUACUGGGCGUAAAGCGCGCGUAGGCGGUCUGAUAAGCCGGUUGUGAAAGCCCCGGGCUCAACCUGGGAACGGCAUCCGGAACUGUCAGGCUAGAGUGCAGGAGAGGAAGGUAGAAUUCCCGGUGUAGCGGUGAAAUGCGUAGAGAUCGGGAGGAAUACCAGUGGCGAAGGCGGCCUUCUGGACUGACACUGACGCUGAGGUGCGAAAGCGUGGGUAGCAAACAGGAUUAGAUACCCCUGUAGUC